UGGUAGUGUAUUGGACUACCAUGGCUUUCACGGGUAACGGAGGAUUAGGGUUCGAUUCCGGAGAGGGAGCCUGAGAAACGGCUACCACAUCUAAGGAAGGCAGCAGGCGCGUAAAUUACCCAAUCCUGACUCAGGGAGGUAGUGACAAGAAAUAACGGACCGAAGCCUAUGUUUCGGGAUUGCAAUGAGUAGAAUUUAAACCCCUUUACGAGGAUCAAUUGGAGGGCAAGUCUGGUGCCAGCAGCCGCGGUAAUUCCAGCUCCAAUAGCGUAUAUUAAAGUUGUUGCAGUUAAAAAGCUCGUAGUUGGAUUUCUGGGAGGGUGCCGAUGUCGUCUUGUUGAUUGUGCAGAGGCGCCCUUCCAUCCUUCUGUUAACGUUUCUGAUAUUCAUUUAUUGGUCUCGGGCUCAGAUAUUUUACCUUGAGAAAAUUAGAGUGUUCCAGGCAGGCUCGCGCCGGAAUACAUUAGCAUGGAAUAAUAGAAUAGGACUUUAGUCUCCUUUGUUGGUUUGAGGGAUUGAAGUAAUGAUUAAUAGGGAUAGUUGGGGGCAUUAGUAUUUAAUUGUCAGAGGUGAAAUUCUCGGAUUUGUUAAAGACUAACUUAUGCGAAAGCAUUUGCCAAGGAUGUUUUCAUUAAUCAAGAACGAAAGUUAGGGGAUCAAAGACGAUCAGA
rnacentral:rRNA from 1 species